rnacentral:rRNA from 1 species
CCGGCGCACGGGUGAGUAACACGUAUGGAACCUGCCCUAUGCACGGGGGAUAAGCGGAAGUAAAUUCCGUCUAAUACCGCAUAACACCUUUAGGAGACAUCUUCUUGGGGGUCAAAGGAGGCGACUCCGGCAUAGGAUGGCCAUGCGUCGCAUUAGCUAGUCGGCGGGGUAACGGCCCACCGAGGCGACGAUGCGUAGGGGUUCUGAGAGGAAGGUACCCCCACACUGGUACUGAGACACGGACCAGACUCCUACGGGAGGCAGCAG